AGUGAACGCUGACGGCGUGCUUAACACAUGCAAGUCGAACGUGAAAACCUUCGGGUGAGUAAAGUGGCGUCCGGGUGAGUAAUACAUAGGUAAUCUACCUUAAAGUCUGGAGUAACCUGCCGAAAGGCGGGCUAAUACUGGAUAGAGCGAUGAUGUCCGUAAUUGGGCGUUUCGGGAAAGGGAGCUCGCAAGAGCCUUUGCUUUAGGAUGAGCCUAUGUCCCAUUAGCUAGUUGGUAGGGUAACGGCCUACCAAGGCAAUGAUGGUAGCUGGUCUGAGAGGAUGAUCAGCCACACUGGCACUGAAAUACGGGCCAGACUCCUACGGGAGGCAGCAGUGGGGAAUAUUGCGCAAUGGACGAAAGUCUGACGCAGCAACGCCGUGUGAGUGAAGAAGGCCUUCGGGUUGUAAGGCUCUGUCAAGCGGGACGAAAAUCAUUAGGGUUAACAGCCCUAGUGCUUGACGGUACCGCUGGAGGAAGCACCGGCUAACUACGUGCCAGCAGCCGCGGUAAUACGUAGGGUGCGAGCGUUACUCGGAAUUAUUGGGCGUAAA
rnacentral:rRNA from 1 species